CUCUAAUAUUAAAUAAUAAAUAACGCUUCAUAAUUUAUUAAAUGCAAAUAAAACCGUUGUUGCUAAAUUAAAAUACAUUUGUUGAGAUGUAAACGAGGAGGUUCAAAGUAUUGGUAGAAAGGAUAUUGAUAGAGAAAAGAUACAGCCUGGAAAUAUGACUGUCUGGACUGACCCCUUUGAGAGGAAAAAGAGCUAAUGUGCCUGUAAAUGUUACUGAUGUUUUCUUAUGUUUGAAUGAUGGGUUAUAGAGAGUGUGGAUGCCUUUGAUUCAAGAGCUAAGUUGUUUGAAAUGUGUGAUUGUUGAACAGAAAACCAUGGAAUUAAAUAACUAAAAAUUAAUGUUCUCUAAGAUUAGUUAUAGAAAACAUACAUAAUGAAUAAGGUUAGCAUUAUGUAGUUGCACAUUUUAAAAUGUUUAGCAUUUAUACCUAUUUUUUUUAAUUAUAAUUUGUAAUAUUAAGUAGGUUUAGUCUAAGGUUAACCUGUUAAUAUGUUUUAAUUUAGUAUAAAACAGUAUAAAAUCAUCUGAUCUUGAAAUCUUAGAAAGCGUGCAUAAGCACUUUUAUAAUCAUUAGUAGAAAGAAAAAUUAUUGUUCAGUAAAAUAGUGUAUAAGUCAAAAGACCUGAAUAAAUGUAAAUAAUUGUGGUUAUUAUUAAACAUUUAUUUUUGAACACUG